AUGAUUCUUUGCUUUGUCUUUGUGAGGUGUAAUUGUUUAAUUUUUGUCAUAGUCGAGCAUUGGAUGAUAUAUUGUAUCUGUCAUAAGGUACAUGGUUCAUGGAUAUGCCAACCUGCAGCUUGUUGUACUAGUGAUAGUAGGAUAAUGCAAGUUUUGACAAUCCAUACAUAUUCCUGCAUGUUAGUGUCUCUCCGUGUAAGUACGAAUUCUGUGAGAAUAAUACAAUUAUUAUUUAACCAGUCUAGAUUUUUAACAUUUGAUGUGCUUCCAAGGGACACAGAUCUAUACUCUUCUAUAUAA
rnacentral:rRNA from 1 species